CAAUAAAACCAAGAAACUAACAUCAGCUAAACAUUGGGUAUCACCUCACCCAGGCUAAGCAUCCCUGGAACUUUCAAGUGUUCUUCACAUGACAGGCUCCCAGUUUCUUCACCAUCGUUACCUACUUUUGAGUGUGCUCCAGUGGUCAAAGUCCCUUUUAAAUUGUGGUAUCUUGAAGAAAGUACUCCAAAUACAAUCUGAGAGGCCUUUUUCUGACAAGAGGAAUGGCAGAAUGCCAGGAAAGGUAAUUGCAAGCUGCUUUUAAAGCCAGAAAUGAAGAGGAAGAAUUUGAAUGUAAGUUAUGUUCACAUAAACAAUGGGAAGAUGAGAGCACAAGACACCUUGGUCUAAAAUAUCGAAAUUAGGUAUUAUCAUCACAGGUAUUAUCUCCAUAUUAAAGAUCAAUGUCAUAGAACUUUGGAGUUGAUAGAAAUCUUACCUGAAGAAUUUCUUCUAUAAUAUAAUCAACAAGAGAUCAUCUAGCUUUUUGCUUGAAGACUUUCAUUGAAGAAAAUCUUUUCCUGAGUCAGUUCCCCUAUCCUCAUUUCACUUUUGAAAACUUUAAUUGCUCAUUAAUCCAGCAUAAAGGAUUUAUUAAGUGACUCUUGUAUGCCAGGAAUUUAU
rnacentral:lncRNA from 1 species